CGUUUCCUAUGCAGGCUGAGGCUCCGAAGGCUGCUAAGCUCCUUUCCCUGCUAAGGGGAGGUCCUCAUUUAUGCCAUUGCCCAGGUUUCCUUUGCAUGUGACUUAUCACACGGUGCUCUGGAGCCCUGUCCUUGGAGACUCACACCCCUGUGACCAGGAUGGGGUCAGGGCUGUGCUUAAUCAGGUGACUGUCCAAGGAGCCCCCUUCCACCUCCAGAGUUCAGAACUCAGUGUCUUACCUUCCUCCCAGGAACCAGAGCACACUGAACACGCAGGGCCUGGCAGGGCACCUGACGGCCAACAUGUUGGGGGGCAUUGGAGCACACAAAUCAACACUCCAGGGGCAGGAGUGGUUGUCACUUGAGUUGCAAAAUCUAGGGACCCUAAAAGAGUCCCUGUGAGGCCUGGCUCCUUGGUGUGCUGAGCAACUGACCCAUCCCCCACACUCUCCUACCCAAAGAGGCCUCUGGAGCCUUCCUACGGCCAAGGGACCUGGCCAGCCGCACAGGCUGAGGACAGAGCGAGCUCGGCCAGGGCUCCGUGAACAGCUGUCCUUCUGUGGCCAUCAUCACAGCAGCAGCAAAGACUCAGUUCCUGAGCAAGAAACCACAGGCACAGCAAGUGCCAUGAAAAGCGGCUUUGUGUGGGGUGGGCUCUUCACACUCCAAUCUCCACUUCCUUCUCAAGCCCUGCUGUGUUGAGCUGGGCUCUGGCGUUGCCAUGGACCCAGGGCAAACAGCGGUGCUCCUGCUCUGCCCCCGGCUCAGCUCAUGCUGGGCCUGCACUUCUGGAAGGGAGCAUGGACUUUGGAAUGACUGGUUAGAACCCAAAUGAAUUAAUGGAAUUUGACAUAGUUCAAAAAUAAUAAAAUGUGAUACCCAU
rnacentral:lncRNA from 1 species